GUGCUGGCUUGGACAGCACCUAUACUAAAAUUGGAAAGAUAUAGACAAGUUUAGCAUGGCCCCUGUGCAAGAAUGACAUGCAAAUUGGUGAAGCAUUUUAUAUUUAA
ensembl:snRNA U6 U6 spliceosomal RNA